GACGAACGCUGGCGGCGUGCUUAACACAUGCAAGUCGAACGGAAAGGCCCUGCUUUUGUGGGGUGCUCGAGUGGCGAACGGGUGAGUAACACGUGAGUAACCUGCCCUUGACUUUGGGAUAACUUCAGGAAACUGGGGUUAAUACCGGAUAGGAGCUCCUGCUGCAUGGGGGGGGUUGGAAAGUUUCGGCGGUUGGGGAUGGACUCGCGGGUUAUCAGCUUGUUGGUGGGGUAGUGGCUUACCAAGGCUUUGACGGGUAGCCGGACUGAGAGGGUGACCGGCCACAAUGGGACUGAGGUACGGCCCAGACGGCUACGGGAGGCAGAGGUGGGAAAUAUUGCACAAUGGGCGGAAGCCUGGUGCAGCAGCGCCGCGUGCGGGAAGACGGUCUGCGGGUUGUAAACCGCUUUCGCCUGUAACGAAGCGUGAGUGACGGUAAUGGGUAAAGAAGCACCGGCUAACUACGUG
rnacentral:rRNA from 1 species